ACAAAACUCUAUCUUUUGUUAUUUCAGGUUUUAUACGUCGUGCAGGUAUCCAUUUAAUUAAACCAUCCUUUUCCACUGCUGCAUACCCACGCCCAAACACUCUCAGCAACCGGCCCGAUUCCCAUGUCAUCGCUCCCGGUUCCUUGAUCUGAACCAAGGGAUAAUUUCUUGUCAUCUGGAUUGGCAUAAAGUGUUUCCACUGGGGAGGUGUGGACUCGUCGCCUCUAACAAAGUGAUAUAGAGCAUAAAGGGCGUGGGACAAAAGAGUCUGCUGUCGGUCUAUGGGUAUUGUCCCCUUAUGACCUUCCCCCUCCCCAAGCUGUUGUAGUUUCGCUUUUAGAGUGCAAUGCGCACGUUCCACUAUUACUUAUCCUUGACUGUUGUAAGGAAGGCCGUGUACUAACUUGAUGUGUCAUAAUGCACACCAUUCUUUGGUACUUUUAGCGAUGAAACAAGGGCCAUUAUCUGUCUUGAUUUCUUGUGGCUUCCCUAAUAAGGCAAUGACUCCCUCCCAAUGAGCAGUAAUGUGUUUGGCUGUUUGUUUGCGAGCCAUCGUGGCUAAUAUU